AUAAAUCUACAAAGAGCAUUUAUAGUUGAUUUUUCUUUUUUUUUUUUCUUUCCCAGUUGUUCAAUUUUGAUUUGUCUUUUUUCUUUUUUUUGAUUAAGCUCAGAGAAGAUUAAUCCUUAUCUUUACCCCUCAUGUUGCUGGCUCAAACUCUUACGAAGUUAUGGUGAGUGCUUGGUGUAAGAUGUAAAAACUAUGUAACCUCAAUAUGAAAAUCAGUUUUGGGACUCAGGACUUCCCCAAGUUGAUUAAGCUUGGCUCGUUCAGGGGUCAUGUUAGUGGAUUUAUAAGCUUCUUUAUUUUGCUUAUUUGUUUCUUCUUUUAAUUAGCCACUCAUGGCUCAUCUAUUUAUUUGAAUUCAAUCGAUUUAUUGUUAGUAUUUAGGAAUUAGUAGAUUUAUUGGCUUCCUCUUAUGGUUACGUAGAUAUUUUCAUUGGUAUUUAUGGUAUUUUAAUGUUGUGGAUUCAUAAAUUUUGUAAUUUAUUUUAUGAUCCUCUAUAUUUCUUAUCUUUGAUGCCAUGCAAUUGUUUUGGUUGAUUAUUUUCCUAGAGGUGAUGGAUAUAAAAGUCUAUCAAAAAUUGUUUGACAAUGUUUAAAUCUUAAUAAAUUAUCUACAAAUUACGUUAACCUUAAUUUUUUUGGUGUGUGCCCCUUAGUGGGUCGUUCCUAAAUAAAAUACAAAAGAAUAAAAAUGACCAAAUUUUCCAUAUAAAAUUUUCAUGAGUAUUUUAAACAUUUUUUAUUUUUUUUAGAAAUACUUCAUUUAUAUGUGAGUUGGAUUGAUGUUCACAUGCUCCAAAAUUCAAAUGAAGAUGAUUUGUAGAAAAAUUCUUAAAUUUCAAAUAUUAUUAGAUAACCGUGACCAAGAUAGACUUUGGAUAGUGAUAAGCCAUGAGCAAAAUGCUGUAGAAAUUCACUCGUAAGUAUUUGUAAGUAUUUUCUAUGUACGCAUGGUAAAAAUAUUAAGGGAAACUUACAUUACUUUCUUUAGAAAUUUAAAAUUAGCUCCAAUAUUCCAUAUUUGUGUUUAUGUUCUGCCUUUUUAGGAGCGCGUCUAGUAUUUCAGUUUUGUCUUUUUUUCUAUAUAACAUAUUGAGAUCAAAUUUUUGUGUUUUUUAUUACCAUAAAGCAUCUUUAAAAGAUAAUUAAACUAAGAUAAAAUGACCUAAAUAUAUGUACAAACUGUAGGGGCAUUUUAGUUAUUUUAGUUUUUUAUUUAUUUAGAGUUAUUAAUUUUAUAUUUUCUAUAAGUGUGGAUUGGUGAGAAGCAUAGACAUUCAAAAUUUGAGAUUAAUUUUAUAAAUAAAAAAAUAAAUCAAAAUUUCCAAAAAAAGUGGGUUGUGAGGGUAACAUAUGAAAUAGUGAGGGCAAUAUUUAAAAAGGAAAAUUUAUCUAAGGUUGGUGCACCUCUAAAAUACAGUCGAAAAAUAGUGUUAUGAAAUUGAAAAACCUUUCAAUUGAUCAUUUUCAUCAUUAAAGCCUUAUCAGUGGUAAACAUUUGCCUAAUGUUUUGAAAGAGCUAAAAUUUUCUAAAUGACUAUGGAGACUCGGCCCAGCUGCAGUUGGAAUCAAGUUCGAUAUUGGCUCUUGGUGCAGACAACAUCCUAGGUGUAGGGGAGAUCGGAGCAAGAGGUCACGCCUUGAAGAUGCCCGUCCUAGGCUGCAGACGCCGCAACAAACACACCAUUGCAAUCUCUGUUGACACCAUCAACUCCUGUUAGACCUGGGUUCUGCAAAGGAGCCUCCCUAAUUAAUCAUAACCUGAGUCCGAAUUUUCAAUUGUAGGCUUUCAAAUAAACUAUAGCACAAGAAUGGCCGAAGUUGUAAAGGUGAGUAGGUGCCAUAACGUUUAGAGUUCUAUUUCUAUCGACUUCUAGAGUUAAACAUUAUUAUUUUGUCAAAAAUAAUAAUAACUACUAUAGGUUGUGAUUUUGUGCUCAUGCUUACUGCAACAGGUAUGCUAAUGAGAAAAAAUAACUGCAAGGAAUCCAUUAAUCCCUAGGAAAUUAGAAUGUAACAUGCUAACAAAGGAGCAAUCAUAUGAGUCAAAUAUUUGAUAAGUAAUUUCUAAUUUUGCCCCUUCAUCAAAAUGAAAGUAGUUUUUUAAAAAACACUUAUGUGAUAAACCAGAACUUUCAAAUACCAAUAUUGCUCUUUAAACACUUCACAAGACAUUCAUUUACAUAUAUUCCAAUGUUUCGCGAGUGAAUUGUUUAAUGAGAUGGCGUGAAAACAUACAAAUUUCAUAUAAGUGUUUAAAGUGAAAUAUUGGUAUUUGAAAUCACCGUUAUCUUUUGAAAAUUAAACGCCAUGGACAUAGUGGAAUUCAAACGUUUAACAUGGUGAUUUAGGGAGUUAUUAGUGUUUGAAAAUACCAAUACUGGUAAUUCAUUUAGUGCAAUACUAUUAUUUGAAAAUCCCAAGACUCUAAUAAUCUAUUUAGUCAGAUAUUGGCGUCAAAAAAUACCAAUAUAUUUAGACAGACGGAAUAAUAGUAACUGCAUAUAUUUGCACCAUUCAUUAUUAGAAAUGAAGGUGGAUACUCUGAGUUACAUGCAACACACAAAGUCCAUUGUGGUGCACCAUAUAGCUACAUGCGCAUCUUGAGUAUUAGUGUUUUAAAACCUGGCAAUUUCCAUUUCAAAUCGUUGAUUUGGGUGGAAAUUAGUCGGAAUGAAACUAGUUUUCGGGAUAGUAUGGGUUCAGGCCUCACUUCCCCUAAAUCCCUUAUAUAUUAUUUUUUUAAUAUUUUAUUUUGGUGUAAUUUGG
rnacentral:lncRNA from 1 species